rnacentral:rRNA from 1 species
UACGUAGGGCGCAAGCGUUGUCCGGAAUUAUUGGGCGUAAAGAGCUCGUAGGCGGCUUGUCACGUCGGGUGUGAAAGCCCCGGGCUCAACCUGGGAAUUGCAUUCGAGACUGCGUGGCUAGGGUGCGGAAGAGGGAAGCGGAAUUUCCGGUGUAGCGGUGAAAUGCGUAGAUAUCGGAAGGAACACCAGUGGCGAAAGCGGCUUCCUGGUCCAGCACCGACGUUCAGGCACGAAAGCGUGGGGAGCAAACAGG